rnacentral:rRNA from 1 species
GAUGAACGCUGGCGGUAUGCUUAACACAUGCAAGUCGAACGGACUCUUCGGAGUUAGUGGCGGAUGGGUGAGUAACGCGUGAGAAUCUGGCUUUGGGUUCGGGACAACCACUGGAAACGAUGGCUAAUACCGGAUGUGCCGAGAGGUAAAAGAGAAAUUGCCUGAAGAUGAGCUCGCGUCUGAUUAGCUAGUUGGUGAGGUAAAGGCUCACCAAGGCAGCGAUCAGUAGCUGGUCUGAGAGGAUGACCAGCCAGACUGGGACUGAGACACGGCCCAGACGCCUACGGGAGGCAGCAGUGGGGAAUUUUCCGCAAUGGGCGAAAGCCUGACGGAGCAAUACCGCGUGAGGGAAGAAGGCUCUUGGGUUGUAAACCUCUUUUCUUAGGGAAGAACAAAAUGACGGUACCUAAGGAAUCAGCAUCGGCUAACUCCGUG